GCAGUCUAGGAAUCACAGAGUAGUGGAAGACUUUAGGUCAUGACAACUAGAAAGAGGAAGUGAUGUGAAUUUCGGACGAAAGCGUUGUCUGAUGUUUAGUAUGUGUGGAGAAAUCUUUUCAACGCUUUUUAUAUAUUUAUUUUACAGUUUUUAUUAGUGUACCAAAAGGUAACAGGAAAACCACAGAUCCCAAGCUACCCGUGGACUCACCACAGAGAAGGUAUUCCGACAAUUCUUCGACAGGACUGAGCUGCCGUGUUUGUGAUGUUAUGCUCCGCACAGGAAACCUGUGAGGGGAAAGUGGCAGCAAGAGCAGAAGGGUCGCAUCAUGAGGAGAAGAUUGUGGGAGGAGUGUAAUAUUGUCAUAAUGACCGCUUGGCUCCUGAGGUUGUUGCCCCCUAUUGGAACAGUGGCCAAGGUGUGGUCAGUGGUUUCUAGACGCUUUCCACUGCCGAUAAUGUCUCCCAGGGCACCACUGUGGGGGAAUCCUCAUUUUGAGCACCUGCAGGAGUUGGAGGCUGCUGGGUUCUGGAGUGCUCACUGAGUCAAAUUCAUCAUGCACUUGUUUGGGGAGUUUCCUGCUUUCCCUUCAUUUCAAGAAAUGUGUGACUGCUUUCAUCUCCGUCGUAGUGCCCAGUUUAGGGGUACUCCAGGAUGUCGGGAUAAGUGUCUGAUCGCAGGGGUCUGCCAGCUGGGACCACCAAGAUCUCCUGCCCCGCACCCUGGCUCUCCCCAUGCACUCAUGAGCGGGCAUGGUUCCAUGCAUGAAGCUGUGUCGACCAUUGCACAAAAUAGUUGCCUACAGGCCCCCUCCAUGCAUCUCUAUGGAAGAGCCGGAGAUACACCGCUUGUGUAUCACCGCUUGUGUAUAUUCUUUAUUUUUCAAUAUAAGAAAUAACAUUUUACAAACUCCAUUAUUAAUAAGAAAAAAGAAUUCCACACUCCGCCCCUUCCCCUCUUCCCUUGUUUACAUAUACUUUCCGGAUGGGUAGGGAGCAGGAGGACACCCAGCCUUACCCAAAUUCUCAAUACUAUUAAUUUUAUUAUUAUUCUUUAUACUUCCCAUUGUUAUCUGACCCCCUUUAUAUUUCUUAAUUCAGGUGUCCCCCUGAUUCCCACCCUUCUUACAUUAUCAAAAAAUAAAUAAAAAAAUAACACAAUUCCAAACAUUCUAGAUUAUAUUUUCAAAAAACCCUCCCAUCACCACCCUUCCAUUCCUCUACCCCUGGUAUAUUUGGUACCAACCAUCUCCUAAUUAUCAGUAAUUUGGCGUAAAAGAGCAUCACUAAUAACCUUCUUUCCUUUCCUGUUUGAUUUACUUUACUAUCAUCUCCUAAAAUUAUCAAUGUUAUAUUGUUUUCUAUUUUGCAUUUUGUCUUUUCCUCAAUGUAUUUUAUUAUUUUCCUCCAAUAUUCCUGAAUGUUCUCACAAUCCCAUAUUAAUGCAUGAACCCCGUGUUUUCCGCUUUACAUCUUGGGCAGUUACUACUCUCCCUCUUCCCAAUCCUAAAUAAUUUAUUUCCUUUUUAAAUUUUUCCCAUGUCUUACUAAUUCCUCUAAUUAUUAUAUUUUUUUCUAUUCCCCUUCUCUUAAUUGUCCCGAUUUGAGUACCUGAAAUAUGUUUUCAUAAUUUCCUUUGGUGUUCUCUAUUAUAUUUUAAAAUAUUCCAAAUCUUCUCCAUUCCACCAAAUAAUACAUUUGACUUGCUAAAUAAUAUCCUUGUAUGUCUGGGAAUUUUAAACCACCCUUCUCUC